rnacentral:lncRNA from 10 species
AGGAAAAUGUUUAACCAGGAGUACUGGAUACUCCUAAGUAGUUCUCACUCAAAAUUCUGCCAAAAUUACUUCCUGAUCAGUGCUUAUAUCUUGACCUCCUUCUCCCUUACUCUCAAAGGAGCCCUUGAGACUUUAAGAAGGCUUCUCACCUUCAUGUAGAAUCAUGAAGGAUCACCUAGGCUACCUCUUUCACAUUAUAGAUAAAGAAACUGAAAUUUCAGAAAGAUUCAAUGACUUGGCCAAGGUCAUGUAGGUAAGAAGUUGCAAGGGUUAGACUUGAACCUUAUUCUAUGUGUAACUCAUUAUAUCACUUGGCUUCCCUUCUGCUCUCCUUUUCUGUAAUUUUCCCUCUUUUUUCUUUAUAUUUUCCAUUUUCCCUGUCAGAACCAGGUCAUAGAUGAUGAUGGGAUGGGCCAAACCAAAGUGGACCAGGUUGUGGAGAACAGUCAAAUUCAGCAAAGGAAAGCAGGUCAUAGAGGGAAGCCUCUGACAACAGGCAGCUGGAAAAAGUCUGGCUGAGAAGUCCAGCAAAAGACAGAGGCCCUGGUUAGACAGAUGGCACAGGCAGAGCAGGAAAUCUGACAUAAGGUCAUGGAAGUGCUGUAAGCAGAUUAGGUAAUAACAGGUAACAGGGUCCCAGACUUGCGAAUGACAUUUCAGCAGCAGGACUCCACUUCAUAAGAACUAAGGUGCAUUGCCAAGGCAGGGAUGUGGUCGCAGGGGCCCCAGGGACCUGGAAUGAAAAUCUGGAGCUCAGUUCCAAGGAACACGUUCCAAGGUCACGGCAGAACCAGCAGUGAGCUUCUGGCCCAGAGUUCCUUACAGUAUCCCCGAGCAAUGUGAUAGAGACAGUUAGCAGCUUAACAAUUAGUCCAUAUACUUCCACACAUCUCCCUUGUAGCUGGACUGGGGCCAUGUGACUAUUUUUGGUCAAAGGACUUUUAGAGGAAGUAGAAACCAUGACAACCACACAUCUUGUUGUUGGAAAGGGAAGGAGAAACACUAGAAGUCUUUGGGAACAAGCCUGUUGUCAGCUCCUUGUCCACCUCACCCCACCUCUGUGAAGUAUGCUCUCUGGAGCAUGUGCAGCUUUAGACACAGCAUGACUUUUUACCUGUUAAUACCUACGUGGGAAAUGCCUUUGAGCAAGAAAGUAUAUCUUGCUACUAUUGGCAAAAAGAGUCAAAUUCUUUAAAAUAUUUGAAGAGAUUUAUUUCGAGCCAAAUAUGAGUGACCACGGCCCGUGACAGGGCCCUCAGGAGAUCCUCACAACAUGUGACCAAAGUGGUUGGGGUACAGCUUGGUUUUAUACAUUCUAGGGAGACAUGAUACAUCAAUCAAAUACAUUUAAGAUACAUUAACCUUAAGGUUAUCAUAUCUUAAAUGUAUUUGAUUGAUGUCUCAUGUCUAAGUCUAUAGGCAGAUUUAAAAUGUUUUUAACUGGCAAUUGGUUGAAAGAGUUAUCAGUAGGGAGGAGCCAAGAUGGCCGAAUAGGAACAGUUCUGGUCUACAGCUCCCAGCAUGAGCCAUGCAGAAGAUGGGUGAUUUCUGCAUUUCCAUCUGAGGUACUGGGUUCAUCUCACUAGGGAGUGCCAGACAGUGGGCGCAGGACAGUGGGUGCAGUGCACCAUGCGCCAGCCGAAGCAGGGCAAGGCAGUGCCUCACUCGGGAAGUGCAAGGGGUCAGGGAGUUCCCUUUCCUGGUCAAGGAAAGGGGUGAGAGAAUGGCAUCUGGAAAAUCGGGCCAUUCGCACCCGAAUACUGCGCUUUUCCGACGGGCUUAGGAAAUGGCACACCAGGAGAUUAUAUCCCGCACCUGGCUUGGAGGGUCCUACGCCCACGGAGUCUCGCUCAUUGCUAGCACAGCAGUCUAAGAUCAAACUGCAAGGCAGCAGCAAGGCUGGGGGAGGGGCACCCGCCAUUGCCCAGACUCGCUUAGGUAAACGAAGCAGCCAGGAAGCUCAA